rnacentral:misc_RNA from 1 species
GAUGAAGAACGUAGCGAAAUGCGAUAAGUAAUGUGAAUUGCAGAAUUCAGUGAAUCAUCGAAUCUUUGAACGCACAUUGCGCCCGCCAGUAUUCUGGCGGGCAUGCCUGUCCGAGCGUCAUUUCAACCCUCGAACCCUCCGGGGGGUCGGCGUUGGGGAUCGGCCCUCCCUUAGCGGGUGGCCGUCUCCGAAAUACAGUGGCGGUCUCGCCGCAGCCUCUCCUGCGCAGUAGUUUGCACACUCGCAUCGGGAGCGCGGCGCGUCCACAGCCGUUAAACACCCAACUUCUGAAAUGUUGACCUCGGAUCAGGUAGGAAUACCCGCUGAACUUAAGCAUAUCAAUAAGCGGAGGA